rnacentral:rRNA from 1 species
UACGGGGGGAGCAAGCGUUGUUCGGAUUUACUGGGCGUAAAGGGCGCGUAGGCGGCCAGCACAAGUCAGUUGUGAAAUCUCCGAGCUUAACUCGGAACGGUCAACUGAUACUGUGCGGCUAGAGUGCGGUAGGGGAGACUGGAAUUCCUGGUGUAGCGGUGAAAUGCGCAGAUAUCAGGAGGAACACCGGUGGCGAAGGCGGGUCUCUGGGCCGUAACUGACGCUGAGGAGCGAAAGCGUGGGGAGCGAACAGG